ACCACUAAUGCGAAGAACGGAUACAGAGAGCAUUGUAUGUAUAUGAUGUACAAGAUUUAGAAUACUCUGCAGUAAUCAACAGAAAAAUGAAAUUGAGUCCUGAAAUUUGAAAAGGUAAGACGAUAAGCAAAACCGCAGAGAAUCAAGGUCAACAGAGGCAGAAUCACCUAUACAAAAAGAGCUCUUAUCUUACAAAUUCUUUUGCCUAUUAUAUCCCAAAUUAUUCAUUAGUGACGAUGUAGAUACAAAACG
rnacentral:lncRNA from 1 species